AUUGAACGCUGGCGGCAUGCCUUACACAUGCAAGUCGAACAGUAACAGGUCUUCGGAUGCUGACGAGUGGCGAACGGGUGAGUAAUACAUCGGAACGUGCCCGAUCGUGGGGGAUAACGAAGCGAAAGCUUUGCUAAUACCGCAUACGAUCUACGGAUGAAAGCAGGGGACCGCAAGGCCUUGCGCGAACGGAGCGGCCGAUGGCAGAUUAGGUAGUUGUGGGGUAGAAAGCUUACCAAGCCGACGAUCUGGGGCUGGUCUGAGAGGACGACCAGCCACACUGGGGCUGAGACACGGCCCAGACUCCUACGGGAGGAAGGAGUGGGGAAUGUUGGACAAUGGGCGAAGGCCUGAUCCAGCCAUGCCGCGUGCAGGAUGAAGGCCUUCGGGUUGUAAACUGCUUUUGUACGGAACGAAAAGACUCUGGUUAAUACCUGGGGUCCAUGACGGUACCGUAAGAAUAAGCACCGGCUAACUACGUGCCAGCCGCCGCCGUAA
rnacentral:rRNA from 1 species